GACGAACGCUGGCGGCGUGCUUAACACAUGCAAGUCGAACGAAGUGGCGCACGGGUGAGUAACGCGUAAUAAACCUGCCCUUCAGAGGGGUACAACAGUUGGAAACGACUGCUAAUACCGCAUACUGAAGGAGGUGAUUGCGUCUGAUUAGCAAGUGGGAGGGGUAACGGCCCCCCAAGGCGAGGAUCAGUAGGCGGUCUUAGUGGGUGAACGGCCACAUUGGGACUGAGACACGGCCCAGACUCCUACGGGAGGCAGCAGUGGGGAAUCUUCCGCAAUGGACGAAAGUCUGACGGAGCAACGCCGCGUGAGUGAUGACGGCCUUCGGGUUGUAAAGCUCUGUUAAUCGGGACGCGGUACCGGAAUAGAAAGCCACGGCUAACUACGUGCCAGCCGCCGCGGUAAUAC
rnacentral:rRNA from 1 species